rnacentral:rRNA from 1 species
UACGAAGGGGGCUAGCGUUGUCCGGAAUCAUUGGGCGUAAAGAGCGUGUAGGCGGCCUUACAGGUCAGCUGUGAAAACUCGAGGCUCAACCUCGAGACGUCGGUUGAAACCGUAAGGCUAGAGUCCGGAAGAGGAGAGUGGAAUUCCCGGUGUAGCGGUGAAAUGCGCAGAUAUCGGGAAGAACACCCGUGGCGAAGGCGGCUCUCUGGGACGGUACUGACGCUGAGACGCGAAAGCGUGGGGAGCGAACAGG